UACGAAGGGGGCUAGCGUUGUUCGGAAUUACUGGGCGUAAAGCGCACGUAGGCGGGUUGUUAAGUCGGGGGUGAAAUCCUGGAGCUCAACUCCAGAACUGCCUUCGAUACUGGCAAUCUAGAGGCCGGAAGAGGUGAGUGGAAUUCCUAGUGUAGAGGUGAAAUUCGUAGAUAUUAGGAAGAACACCAGUGGCGAAGGCGGCUCACUGGUCCGGUACUGACGCUGAGGUGCGAAAGCGUGGGGAGCAAACAGG
rnacentral:rRNA from 1 species